rnacentral:snoRNA from 2 species
AUCUUUUUGUAGUUCACAAGUGUGAUGGCUGGGUUUUCAGGCUCAUGUGUGAGAUAUGCCUUCCUCGAACCUUAUUAUGCUAUCAGCACAUUAUCUAGCUGACA